rnacentral:rRNA from 1 species
GAUGAACGCUGGCGGCGUGCCUAAUACAUGCAAGUCGAGCGAACAGACGAGGAGCUUGCUCCUCUGACGUUAGCGGCGGACGGGUGAGUAACACGUGGAUAACCUACCUAUAAGACUGGGAUAACUUCGGGAAACCGGAGCUAAUACCGGAUAAUAUAUUGAACCGCAUGGUUCAAUAGUGAAAGACGGUUUUGCUGUCACUUAUAGAUGGAUCCGCGCCGCAUUAGCUAGUUGGUAAGGUAACGGCUUACCAAGGCAACGAUGCGUAGCCGACCUGAGAGGGUGAUCGGCCACACUGGAACUGAGACACGGUCCAGACUCCUACGGGAGGCAGCAGUAGGGAAGCUUCCGAAAUGGGCGAAAGCCUGACGGAGCAACGCCGCGUGAGUGAUGAAGGUCUUCGGAUCGUAAAACUCUGUUAUUAGGGAAGAACAAAUGUGUAGUAACUAUGCACGUCUUGACGGUACCUAAUCAGAAAGCCACGGCUAACUACGUG